CACGUAGCUGGGGGGACUCUCCAAUGGCACUUACUAGGCGCGCCCCUCCUUGUCCCCGGGCCUGCCCUGUCUGGGCGCCCGAGACCCGGGUUCGGCUUCAGCUCGGCGCCCCCUUGGGAGAGGUCUCCCAACCCCCAGGGGAGCCGUAGUGAGGGUUUCUCUGAGGCGGGGAAGUCCUCGUGGUGCGGGGUGGGAAGGCGGCCUUCCUUACCGGAAAACGACCCUCGUGGCACCUAAGAACCCUCCUUUCCCCCAGAGGCCGAGGUGCUCAGCAUUUCGUGUGCCUUUGACCCCGACUCUCAAGGGAUCUGGGCCACAUGGAGCUUGAAACUCCUACAGUGGAAAAAAAAAUUACAAAACACAUUUUCAAACUGAUCCGAGGCAGAGACGCAGAGCCCGGGACGGUGUCCAGAUUCUUGGCGCACGCGGGGGUCUCCGCCUGCCUAGUGGCUCUGACCACGCGGACGCGGCCAGUUUAGGGAGCGGGUAAGAUCACCCGCCUGAAACGCUUUAGGUUUCCGUGCCGAGCAGAGCUAACUCCGGUGUUAGCAAAAAACGGAGGUAAUUUCGCCCACACUGACACUCCCCCACCACAAAUGCCUUUCAGUUGCCACUUCUCGCGGAAAUUGGGCUUUUUAAAAGGUUUGGGGCUGAGUCCUGCGGGAUCCGCUAAGUGCUGUGAGCCUUUAAAGAGGGAGCCUGCUAUUUCCUCCCUCAUAUUCACCUUUAGGGGAGUGACAGUGCGGAAUGCAGCAGGAGACCCUCUAACAUCAUUUUCAGGGUGUGAGGCCCGUCGUGGUUUUUCUGCCCCGGGAAGAAAUCGGAACCAUUGGGGUUAUGUGUUCCACUGGUAUACAUUACUGUAGAGAGGGCUAUUCUCCAAAUUCAGUAAAAUUUGUAGAGAUCUAAAUUGAGAGUGAAUGAAUGAGGAAAUCGUCCUAGUUAUCAUUGAUACCGCGAAUAAUCUCUUAAAAUGUGAAGCUCUUGGUGUGUUUACGUAUUUGCUUCAUUUGUGAAAGACCCUUUUAUUGAUCGGGAAAUACCUAAUUUUAUGAUUAGGAAACCGAAUAGGACAUUCAUUUUAUCCUGCUUUUAAAGAGGAAACAAAACGUCGCGUUGCAAGCUGUGUCCUGGGCACCCUCCCUUUUCAGCUAUAUGUAUAUAUGUAUGUGUGUGUGUGUGUGUGUGUGUAUAGGGACCCCAGGGACCUACCCUGACUACCUCCAUCGCUAGUGAAUGGCACUACAACAUAGGGAAAUGCAGUGGUCUGGCUUUGUUUUACACCUGACUUAGAUAUUGGGGGCUCUUGCUGAGCCAAACUUUAAACAGCUCCCUCUGGAAGAGAGGUUGGACUGAGCCAGGAAGGAAGCAGCAGCCGGAGCCAGUGUCUAUUUAAGGACUUUUCUCCACUCCCUGGGCUCUAACCCCCACUUCUAGGUAAACAAGUUUCAAGUGUUAAAAGUUUCAGUUUUUCCUAGGUAAAUACUGUUGCCAGCAAUGUUUAUUUUUUUUUUUAAAUUGAUACUAUUCUGUGCUAAUUUAACAAGGUGAUAAAUUUGGAAAGAUAACUGCUGAUGUUCUAUAAAAAGUAUUCCCACAGUAUAGGAAUGUAGUUCACUAGUCAUUUUACUUAUGCCUAGAAAUUGCAGAUUCCCAGCGUCAGAAAGUUUGGAGAAUGUAACUGUUUUUACAGGCAUUCUACUCAGAUAGCUUUUUCAUCAAAGGUAGCUAGUAGAUAGCCCAGUAAAAAGAAGACACUCUAGACCAAAAGAAAAAACCCAAACCAUAAAAUGUUACCAUAUGAUAUUCUUACCAUUGUUUUUCUCACUUUCCUACCAGGCUCAGCCCAGUUCAAGAUGCUGACAAACUUCAGGCCUGGUGCUUGAAAGAAGCUUUUCAAGAAGAUAAGGUGUGUUUGAACAGGUGACGAUUGAUACAUACAGAAUAGAGGUUUUGGCUUUCUUUGUCCCUUUCAUGGUGGUAGAAGGGGUGAGCAUUUGAGAAUGUGCCAAAUAUCUGUAACAGCAUAUAUCUGCCCCAUAGAGAAUGUUUGUAGAAUUCAAUUCUAUUAUUUAAAAGUUUUUCUACCCACCAGCCCCAGCCUGAAGCUUGACACAGUAACUAGACUGAUAACAGUCUACAACUAUCAUAAGACAACUUGGUUGACCACUUUAAUUUUAAGUCCCAUUUCUUUUGACUGUUUUAAAGAUUAUAUGUCCCAAGGUAUCCUUUUUAAAACUUUAUGUGCUUACAGUUUUUUCUAUACUAGAUCAUUCUAAUGAUUAAAUUUGAUCCCUUUGAAAGAUCAAUGGAUUCCUAAGGGUCAGGGAGGAGUUUGUUGCAAAGGGCUUGGGGGAGUCUUGAAGAACUGUUCUACAGUUUGAUUAUGGUGGUGAUUGCAUGUGUUAAAUUUGGGGGUGAAUUUUACUGAAUGUAAGUUCUAUUUCAAUAAACGACUUUUAAAACUUA